rnacentral:rRNA from 1 species
AUGUUGCCUCGGCGGAUCAGCCCGCGCCCCGUAAAACGGGACGGCCCGCCAGAGGACCCAAACUCUAAUGUUUCUUAUUGUAACUUCUGAGUAAAACAAACAAAUAAAUCAAAACUUUCAACAACGGAUCUCUUGGUUCUGGCAUCGAUGAAGAACGCAGCAAAAUGCGAUAAGUAAUGUGAAUUGCAGAAUUCAGUGAAUCAUCGAAUCUUUGAACGCACAUUGCGCCCGCUGGUAUUCCGGCGGGCAUGCCUGUUCGAGCGUCAUUUCAACCCUCAAGCCCCCGGGUUUGGUGUUGGGGAUCGGCUCUGCCUUCUGGCGGUGCCGCCCCCGAAAUACAUUGGCGGUCUCGCUGCAGCCUCCAUUGCGUAGUAGCUAACACCUCGCAACUGGAACGCGGCGCGGCCAUGCCGUAAAACCCCAACUUCUGAAUGUUGACCUCGGAUCAGGUAGGAAUACCCGCUGAACUUAAGCAUAUCAAUAAG